GGGCGGGUGGCGAAACUGGUAGACGCACCACACUCAAAAUGUGGCUCUGGUGACAGAAUGGGAGUUCGAUUCUCCCCCCGCCCA
rnacentral:tRNA from 1 species